GCGUCGGCUUGGGGACUGAAGGGUCCCGGGUUCGAUUCCGGUCAAUGGCAUGUACCUUGGUUGCGGGCAUAUCCCCAGUAGGGGGUGUGCAGGAGGCAGCUGAUUGAUGUUUCUCUCUCAUCGAUGUUUCUAAUUAUCCCUCUCCCUUCCUCUCUGUAAAAAAUCAAUACAAAAUAUAUU